UGAAUUGACGGGGGCCCGCACAAGCGGUGGAGCAUGUGGUUUAAUUCGAUGCAACGCGAAGAACCUUACCUACUCUUGACAUCCAGAGAACUUAGCAGAGAUGCUUUGGUGCCUUCGGGAACUCUGAGACAGGUGCUGCAUGGCUGUCGUCAGCUCGUGUUGUGAAAAUGUUGGGUUAAGUCCCGCAACGAGCGCAACCCUUAUCCUUUGUUGCCAGCGGUUCGGCCGGGAACUCAAAGGAGACUGCCAGUGAUAAACUGGAGGAAGGUGGGGAUGACGUCAAGUCAUCAUGGCCCUUACGAGUAGGGCUACACACGUGCUACAAUGGCAUAUACAAAGAGAAGCGACCUCGCGAGAGCAAGCGGACCUCAUAAAGUAUGUCGUAGUCCGGAUUGGAGUCUGCAACUCGACUCCAUGAAGUCGGAAUCGCUAGUAAUCGUGGAUCAGAAUGCCACGGUGAAUACGUUCCCGGGCCUUGUACACACCCGCCCGUCACACCAUGGGAGUGGGUUGCAAAAGAAGUAGGUAGCUUAACCUUCGGGAGGGCGCUUACCACUUUGUGAUUCAUGACUGGGGUGAAGUCGUAACAAGGUAACCGUAGGGGAACCUGCGGUUGGAAUCACCUCCUUACC
rnacentral:rRNA from 1 species